rnacentral:rRNA from 1 species
AGGACGAACGCUGGCGGCGUGCUUAACACAUGCAAGUCGAGCGGAAAGGCCCUUCGGGGUACUCGAGCGGCGAACGGGUGAGUAACACGUGGGCAACCUGCCCCUCACACUGGGAUAAACCUCGGGAAACCGGGGCUAAUACCGGAUACGACCUCGAGCGGCAUCUCUUGAGGUGGAAAGCUCCGACGGUGAGGGAUGGGCCCGCGGCCUAUCAGCUUGUUGGUGGGGUAAUGGCCUACCAAGGCGACGACGGGUA